rnacentral:snRNA from 17 species
UGUCUUAUAUGGUGGGAAAGAUAACAUGAUCAAGAAGGUGAUUUUCUCAGGAUGAGGUUAAUUCUUUGGAAGCAUGCUAUGCUGAUCCCUGCAGUUUCUCUAAAUACAGGAAACUCAGCUGCAUAAUUUGUGGUAUUUUUGUAAGAAAAU